GGGGUCCCCGAGUGGGGAACGGGGGGAGAACCACGUGGGUGCCCUGCCCGCCACUUCGGGGAUAAGCCUUGGAAACCUGGUCUAAUACCGGAUAGGACCGCACCGUGAGGGUGGGUGGAAGGUUUUUCGGUGUGGGGAUGGGCCCGCGGCCUAUCAGCUUGUUGGUGGGGUAAUGGCCUACCAAGGCGGCGACGGGUAGCCGGCCUGAGAGGGUGGACGGCCACAUUGGGACUGAGACACGGCCCAGACUCCUACGGGAGGCAGCAGUGGGGAAUAUUGCACAAUGGGCGGAAGCCUGAUGCAGCGACGCCGCGUGGGGGAUGACGGCCUUCGGGUUGUAAACUCCUUUCACCAUCGACGAAGGUUUUCUGACGGUAGAUGGAGAAGAAGCACCGGCUAACUACGUGCCAGCAGCCGCGGUAAUACGUAGGGUGCGAGCGUUGUCCGGAAUUACUGGGCGUAAAGAGCUCGUAGGUGGUUUGUCGCGUCGUCUGUGAAAUUCCGGGGCUUAACUCCGGGCGUGCAGGCGAUACGGGCAUAACUUGAGUACUGUAGGGGAGACUGGAAUUCCUGGUGUAGCGGUGAAAUGCGCAGAUAUCAGGAGGAACACCGGUGGCGAAGGCGGGUCUCUGGGCAGUAACUGACGCUGAGGAGCGAAAGCAUGGGUAGCGAACAGGAUUAGAUACCCUGGUAGUCCAUGCCGUAAACGGUGGGCGCUAGGUGUAGGGGUCUUCCACGACUUCUGUGCCGUAGCUAACGCAU
rnacentral:rRNA from 1 species